UACGUAGGGGGCAAGCGUUGUCCGGAUUUAUUGGGCGUAAAGGGCGCGUAGGCGGUUUCUUAAGUUUGGAGUGACAGUGGGUGGCUUAACUACCCAAGGCCCUCUGAAAACUGGGGAACUUGAGGACCAGAGAGGGACAUAGAAUUCCGGGUGGAGUGGUGAAAUGCGUAGAUAUCCGGAGGAAUACCAAAGGCGAAGGCAGUGUCCUGGAGGGUGACUGACGCUGAGGCGCGAAAGCUAGGGGAGCGAACAGG
rnacentral:rRNA from 1 species